ACCCAGCGCCAAACGGGAACCCCCAUUCCCGCCGCCGGCCCGCCCGGGCGCGCUGAGAUGGCGCCGUCUCGCCGCGCCUCGGCCCGCCCCCUGCGCCGGGCGGGCUUCUGUCAGCUCGGCCGGUGCCCCACGCCCUGCACAGUCUUGGUGUUGCGGCUGCUGCUGGGGGGAUCCGUCAGGUCCAGGGAUCGAGGCGAGCUUGCUGGAGAUGGAGGAUUUUGUGCUGAGAGAACGGCUGCGGCUGGGACCUCGGUGGAGACCAAGGCCUUCCCGAAUAGAAUGGCGAGCGGUGGCACUGGGAAGCAGCCGCAGCACAAGAAAGCAGCUCCCUGCCGGUGUCUGUAAGAAAACUGAGCCCAAGGGGAAAAUACCGGGUGACCAUAGGAAUACCAGCCUUCACUGGAAACAACUGAGACAUUCCUGGGGACAGUAAGUUGGCUCGGCUGGAAGAGCUGAAGAGGUGUACCAAUGGAAGCUACAAAACUGGGGCUGAAGAGGUCACAACCUUCCUCAGGGCUAUAGCGCAAACCAGAAAGAUGAAAAUCACAAUGCCAUCUCUUCCUCUCAGUCACCUUCCUCCAAUGCUUAUUUUGAAGGCUAAACAGAUCUGGGGGUCUCUUUGGAGGGCUAGGUCGAUGCUAGUCCUCACCCCAUGUCUUCUCUGAAAGAGCGAUUUCUGGUAGCCUUACACAGGCAUUGUGCAAUACUUGUGGAUUUUGAUUGACAAGACUGCUAUUCCAUCUCAUUUCUGCUGCUUGACUUGUACUACGGAAAUUCUUCAUGCCCUCUCUCUGCCUUCCUUAUUUUUAAAUACCUCUGGAGGAAGAAGGAUGAUGGCUGGGAAGCAGACAUGCUCCUGACCUUAAUGUCUGGACAGCACUUUGAAUAAGAGAGAAGUCAGUACUAAAUACAGUCAUCAUAAUGUGUCUAAGUGUCUGCUACUUAGACAAUAAAAUGAUUCUAACAUGA